GUGGGGAAUAUUCCGCAAUGGACGAAAGUCUGACGGAGCAACGCCGCGUGAGUGAUGAAGGUUUUCGGACUGUAAAGCUCUGUUGUUUAGGACGAAAGUGCCUGUUGCGGACAGUUACAGGUAUUGACGGUACUAAACGAGGAAGCCACGGCUAACUACGUGCCAGCAGCCGCGGUAAUACGUAGGUGGCAAGCGUUGUCCGGAAUUAUUGGGCGUAAAGAGCAUGUAGGCGGAGAUUUAAGUCUGUUGUGAAAAUGCGGGGCUCAACCCCGUAUUGCGAUGGAAACUGAAUUUCUUGAGUGCAGGAGAGGAAAGGGGAAUUCCCAGUGUAGCGGUGAAAUGCGUAGAUAUUGGGAGGAACACCAGUGGCGAAGGCGCCUUUCUGGACUGUGUCUGACGCUGAGAUGCGAAGCCAGGGUAGCGAACGGGAUUAGAAACCCUGGUAGUCC
rnacentral:rRNA from 1 species